rnacentral:lncRNA from 1 species
CCCUGGGGUCUAAAGGUCAGCAGUAGUGUUGAUAUUAGUUCCCUGGGGUCAUUAGGUCAGCAGUAGUGUUGAUAUUAGUUCCCUGGGGUCGUUAGGUCAGCAGUAGUGUUGAUAUUAGUUCCCUGGGGUAAUUAGGUCAGCAGUAGUGUUGAUAUUAGUUCCCUGGGGGUCUAAAGGUCAGCAGUAGUGUUGAUAUUAGUUCCCUGGGGUCAUUAGGUCAGCAGUAGUGUUGAUAUUAGUUCCCUGGGGUCUAAAGGUCAGCAGUAGUGUUGAUAUUAGUUCCCUGGGGUCAUUAGGUCAGCAGUAGUGUUGAUAUUAGUUCCCUGGGGUCUAAAGGUCAGCAGUAGUGUUGAUAUUAGUUCCCUG